rnacentral:lncRNA from 1 species
UUGAACUGCCUCCUAAACCUUCCAUCCCAGACUUCCCAAAGGUAGAACUGCCUCCAAUGCCUACCAUUCCGAAGGUCGAAUUGCCGCCUAAGCCCACUAUCCCUGAAUUACCUUCCAUUCCCAGCACUGUGCACUCUCCAGCCCAUGCAACUACUAGCCCAUGAGGGACACUUUGCAUGGCAUCCUAAUUAUUAAUAUAUGAGGUCAUGGAAAUAAAUGUGGACCAUUAGCUCAGCUGGUUUUCGGAGGAGUCGGUGCUCGGGACUUGGGAGUCAUCUAUAUUCUUAGCGUCUUGUUUUCCUUUUAUUUCCUUGUUUGGGCUCAUUUGCUUAUUAUUUACUUUGGGUUGGUUUGUGAGCAUUUGGAUGGUUUGUACUUUAUUUCAUUGUAUUCUAGACUGUGUUCAGGAGUAUCUUAUACGAAUGAAAUUUCUUUUCCAUAUGUUCGGCCUUCAAAAUGAUCUUUGAAAUGAACAUCAAAGCAG